UGUUAAAAAGUUUAUCAAAUUGUACUGUUAAAAGUUAGCGUUAUUGAUGGUAUAAUCGGCCAAUGAUGUGACAUGCAAUGUGUAUUUUAUGUUGAUGUAUAAAAAUUAAUUUUUAUAGUAGCAAUGGAAGGAACUUUUAACA
rfam:Gossypium hirsutum cultivar TM-1 chromosome 12, whole genome shotgun sequence